rnacentral:rRNA from 1 species
UACGGGGGGGGGCAAGCGUUGUUCGGAAUUACUGGGCGUAAAGGGCGCGUAGGCGGUUGGAUAAGUCAGCUGUGAAAAACCACGGGCUUAACUCGUGGCCUGCAGUUGAGACUGUCUGGCUUGAGUGUGGGAGAGGAGAGUGGAAUUCCUGGUGUAGCGGUGAAAUGCGUAGAUAUCAGGAGGAACACCGUGGCGAAGGCGGCUCGUCUGGACCACAACUGACGCUGAGGCGCGAAAGCUAGGGGAGCAAACAGG